rnacentral:rRNA from 1 species
CCUACGGGCGGCAGCAGUGGGGAAUAUUGGACAAUGGGGGGAACCCUGAUCCAGCCAUGCCGCGUGUGUGAAGAAGGCCCUCGGGUUGUAAAGCACUUUCAGUGAGGAAGAACGCCUGGUGGUUAAGACCCAUCAGGAAAGACAUCACUCACAGAAGAAGCACCGGCUAACUCCGUGCCAGCAGCCGCGGUAAUACGGAGGGUGCGAGCGUUAAUCGGAAUUACUGGGCGUAAAGCGCGCGUAGGUGGCUUGAUAAGCCGGUUGUGAAAGCCCCGGGCUCAAACUGGGAACGGCAUCCGGAACUGUCAAGCUAGAGUGCAGGAGAGGAAGGUAGAAUUCCCGGUGUAGCGGUGAAAUGCGUAGAGAUCGGGAGGAAUACCAGUGGCGAAGGCGGCCUUCUGGACUGAAACUGACACUGAGGUGCGAAAGCGUGGGUAGCAAACAGGAUUAGAUACCCGAGUAGUC